rnacentral:ncRNA from 2 species
GCGUUAUCAAGAAAGGUGGAGGGAAUAGACCCGGUGAAACCUUAGCAACCCUUUACCCCUGUCCGGGGCAAAAGAAGGUGCUACAUUCUAUCCUGCAGCCCGGUGGCUACCCGCACCGGAAACCGCUGCCCGGACAGAUAACCA